rnacentral:lncRNA from 1 species
AUCCUAAAUGUACUGGGGCAGCUUCGGGGGGCGCAGCUCGGGGCCCUACGGCGGCGGCGGCUACGGCAGCUCCAGCGGCGGCGGCAGCUACGGAGGAGGGAGAAGGUUUUAACGGCCAGGAGCCGGAGCCGGGCGGGAGCUGGGGCGGCCCCUGGAGCCAGCGCGGGGCCGGGCCGAGCCCCCGGGACCCCCGGGACCCCCGGGCUGGCCGUGCCCGGGUCCCCCCCGCAGUUCCCCGCUGUGUCCUGUACCCCCCCUCAAUAAAUGUCUCUUGGGUUUUUUUUUUUAAUUACUUUUCAUUAUUAGCGUUCGUUUCAGCGGCGGGGCGGCCGCUCUCACCCCCAUUGGCCGCUGCAGCUGUCAGUCACGGCCUGGCUCCGCCCCCCUCGCCUCCACUCUGUUGUCACCUUGGGUGUCCCCAGGGUGUCCCUGGAUGUCCCUGGGUGUCCCUGGGUGUCCCCAGAGGGUCCCUGGGUGUCCCCAGGUGUCCCCAGAGGGUCCCUGGGUGUCCCCAGGUGUCUCCAGGGUGUCCCCAGGUGUCCCCAGGUGUCCCCAGGGUGUCCCCAGGUGUCCCCACCCGUGUCCUCCAUGUCCCCAAUGUCCCAGUUGUCCCCAAUUGUCCCCAGUGUCCCCUCC